CUCAUGUUUGUCCAUGUGUUUACAAUCCCAUUUGUAAUUACAGAAAUUUUAUUUAUUUAAUAAUUGUAAUCCUAGAGUAUAUAGCAAAAUUAACAAAUCAAACCUAACAAACAAAACCCCUAUAUUAUGGCUAUAGGUGACAUAUCUGGGGUAUGAAUGGACAUAUUGGGCAGAUUCUGUUUGCCCAAUUUACAACCAUUAUUGGAAUAGUAAAAGAUGCAAUAGAGUAAUCAGCAAAUAUACGACUUUGUAUCAACUAAAAGCACUUUACAGAAGAGGAGAGACUCCAAGGCAACAGAUUUCCUACAGCAGUACUUUCCUAAGUGUACUAAGGUAAUUAGCCUCAAUAGGAGAUAAUUUUGGUUCACAGGGGUUGCUGUUGUUUUAAGUCUUUCUGGGAAAUUUGGAUUUUCCAUUGAUAGCAGUUUUAACAUGUCACACUGGAGCCAGAGUGAAUUAAAGUGAAGAGCUACACAGUCUAAACAAACAUUCCUUCCCAUUAUCAGAAGCCUGACAACAUAAUAGCAUAAACUAUAGUCAUGUGGUCACAUUCACAAGUAAUACAAGAACAAUUAAAAAUCAAAGAAAUGCUACAUUUCCUAAACC
rnacentral:lncRNA from 12 species